CUACCUAACGCGUUACUCCGAAAGCCACGGCUCAAGGCCACAACCUCCAAGUUAGACAUCGUUUACGGCGUGGACUACCAGGGUAUCUAAUCCUGUUUGCUCCCCACGCUUUCGCAUCUGAGCGUCAGUCUUUGUCCAGGGGGCCGCCUNCYCCACCGGUAUUCCUUCAGAUCUCUACGCAUUUCACCGCUACACCUGAAAUUCUACCCCCCUCUACAAGACUCUAGUUAGCCAGUUCGAAAUGCUGUUCCGAGGUUGAGCCCCGGGCUUUCACAUCUCGCUUAACUAACCGCCUGCNUGCGCUUUACGCCCAGUAAUUCCGAUUAACGCUCGCACCCUCCGUAUUACCGCGGCUGCUGGCACGGAGUUAGCCGGUGCUUCUUCUGUCGCUAACGUCAAAAUGCGCACUAUUAACUACACACCCUUCCUCACGACUGAAAGUACUUUACAACCCGAAGCCUUCUUCAUACACGCGGCAUGGCUGCAUCAGGGUUUCCCCAUUGUGCAAUAUUCCCCACUGCUGCCUCCCGUAG
rnacentral:rRNA from 1 species